ACCUCUCAAGCCAAUCGGCUUUGAUCAAGUGUAGUAUCUGUUCUUGUCAGUGUAAGAACUGGCAUUAUCCGCAAGGAUAAGUUCUUGAAUUUUUGGGCUGGCAGGCUAGUGCAGAGAAGUUUGAGCGCUUGCGUUUCGG